AUUGAACGCUGGCGGCAGGCCUAACACAUGCAAGUCGAGCGGAUGACGGGAGCUUGCUCCUGGAUUCAGCGGCGGACGGGUGAGUAAUGCCUAGGAAUCUGCCUGGUAGUGGGGGAUAACGUCCGGAAACGGGCGCUAAUACCGCAUACGUCCUGAGGGAGAAAGUGGGGGAUCUUCGGACCUCACGCUAUCAGAUGAGCCUAGGUCGGAUUAGCUAGUUGGUGGGGUAAAGGCCUACCAAGGCGACGAUCCGUAACUGGUCUGAGAGGCUGAUCAGUCACACUGGAACUGAGACACGGUCCAGACUCCUACGGGAGGCAGCAGUGGGGAAUAUUGGACAAUGGGCGAAAGCCUGAUCCAGCCAUGCCGCGUGUGUGAAGAAGGUCUUCGGCUGGUAAAGCACUUUAAGUUGGGAGGAAGGGCAGUAAGGUAAUACCUUGCUGUUUUGACGUUACCAACAGAAUAAGCAACGGCUAACUUCGUG
rnacentral:rRNA from 1 species